rnacentral:rRNA from 1 species
UACGUAGGUGGCAAGCGUUGUCCGGCUUUACUGGGUGUAAAGGGCGUGCAGCCGGGCUGACAAGUCAGAUGUGAAAUCCCGCGGCUCAACCGCGGAACUGCAUUUGAAACUGUCAGUCUUGAGUACCGGAGAGGUCAUCGGAAUUCCUUGUGUAGCGGUGAAAUGCGUAGAUAUAAGGAAGAACACCAGUGGCGAAGGCGGAUGACUGGACGGCAACUGACGGUGAGGCGCGAAAGCGUGGGGAGCAAACAGG